GGAGUCGACUGCCUUUGCAGUUUGAAUCAAUCGAGUUUGGAAAGGCAUUUCUCAAUGCCUGGUGAUUGGAUUUAUUUGAAAUUUUGGGAGAAUCAAGCUUUAUAAGUUAGGCUCUGAAAGACACAAGUUUUGGUAAAUUUAAAGAAAAUUUUAAUUUUUAGUGAAUUUCUAAGUGAAGAGGAUUAGUCACUGCAGCAGUUUGGAUCAUACAACUUCAAAGGAGAAAUUCUCACGAUUGGAUCAUUAGAUUGCAACAAAGACUGUUGGAUCAAAAGCGUCUUCAAGUCAGCCUUGCAAAAAGCUAAGAAUCAUUCAAAUUGAAGCCAAUUAAAAAUUUUGGCAAAUUUUGGAGUAGAGGGGGGUCGCUGCCUUCAAUCAUUAGGUGUUGUCAAGGUACCUUCGCUUUCACUUCUCACUUUAUUUUUACUAUCAUCUUCACAGUGAAUUGUAAGCUCCA
rnacentral:lncRNA from 1 species